rnacentral:rRNA from 1 species
GAUCAUGCUCAGGAUGAACGCUGGCGGCGUGCCUAACACAUGCAAGUCGAACGGAGCUGCUUUGAUGAAGUUUUCGGAUGGAUUUAAAGCAGCUUAGUGGCGGACGGGUGAGUAACGCGUGGGUAACCUGCCUCACACUGGGGGAUAACAGUUAGAAAUAGCUGCUAAUACCGCAUAAGCGCACGGUUCCGCAUGGAACAGUGUGAAAAACUCCGGUGGUGUGAGAUGGACCCGCGU